rnacentral:lncRNA from 1 species
CAAGCCCCAGCCCCCACAACGUUGAUCUAGCCACUUCUUCGCCGGUCACCUUCCCAUCAUCCAUUGUCACCACCAUGCACCUUUUCUUAGUCAUACCGUCCUUGUCGCACUAACCACACAACCACCCUUUUUUUUCAUUUCCUUUCCCUUCCUCUUCUUUCCAUCAAUCCCACAUUCCCUUCUUCCCCUUGUUUGCACCAACCUCGUGUCAACCCCGCUCAUUCGUCUCCAAGCCCCCACCAUCAAGUCACCUCUGUUAACGACAUUUCCCAAACUCCCCUCCCUCAUCCCUUUUGUUCCUUUUGCCCGAUCUAACCCCUUAUUUCCCUAACCCCACGCAUCACCGUUGCCGACCGCUCCCUCACCAUUUCCUUAGUCUCCGUCAACAAUCACCGUCCUCAUCGCUAAUGCACCUUCGUCGACCGUUGCCGACAACAACCCAAAACCUCACUGUUUGGCCCAUUUCUUUUUUUCUUUUUAUGAUUUAUUUUAUUUAUUUUUAUUAUAUUCAUUAUAUUUAGUUUUAUUAUUUUAUUUAUUAUUAUCCUUACUGUUAUUAAUUUAUCUAUUUAGUUUAGCACUCCUGUUAGAUUUCAAUAGUUAGUUGUUUAUUAUUUAGUUUUUGUUAUUCUUUAAUUUAUUUAUUUUAGUAUUAGCUUUGGUUUUUGUUUUAGGUAUGAUUGCAAGUUUUUAGUUAUGUGAUUUGGUGGUCGUUUUAAGAUAAAUUGCAUGUUAAUUGGUGUUAAUUAUUCUGUUAUUUUAUCUAUUUGUUCAAUUAAUUGAUGGUGAUACUGGUUUUUCUUGGUUAUUUGAUAUUUGAUGUUAUCUUUUAUUUCAGGUACACCAUGACAAACAUUCGCAAUAAAUCUAAGUUCGUCGUCCCCACUUCAAAAAAGCAAAAGACUCUGGACAUGACCUUAUCUUCGGGCCCCACCUUACUUGCGAGACACCUAUAUCUCCAAUUCCCUUUGGGUCCUCAGGAGGAUCUAUAUCAGCAUUUAUGAUAGCAACCCUUAAGAUUAAGCUAUUGUAUUGAUUGGCAAAACCCUACAAGAGAUACACUUGGUCAAUAGAGUGCACACACUAAUCGAGACAACUCAUUGGGAUCGAUUUUUCUCCAUUAUCAAGCCCACCUACUUAGAGCUUACAUUAGAGUUUUGUUUGACAUUUUUUCUACAGCAGGUGAUGUUAAGACAUGAUGAAUCGCGCACUAUUUCUUUCUGGCUCGGUGGUACGACGCAUUAUCUGAGCAUUCCGGGUUUCGGAGCCAUCCUUAAUCUCUAUUCUAAGAAGUUCAUGAGUGCCGAGAGGUUCAUAUUAUAUCGGCAAAUCCAUCAGUUCCUUAUCUUUGUUAGACCGUGUAACGACCCAAAAUUUACAGGCAUCGAAAAAGUGAGUUGUUGGGUCUUCAUUUUAGUUAAAUGGAUUCGUAAAUAUUUAUUAAAAAUAUUUACGAAGUUAGUUGUAAGCUUAAUUAGGUUUUGAUUAGGUAAAUCAGCUUAAAGUAAGAGUAACUAGGAAAAAGGACUAAAUUGCAAUAGAGGUGAAAGUUUAAUUAUAGAUUAAAGAAAGUUAAAAGGACCAAAUAGGAAAUUAUGCCAUUUUCAAAUGUUAAAGCGGUUUACGAUAGAAAUAUAAAAGAUAUUUUUUAUUAAAACAUAAUAUAUUAUAUUAUAAUAACUUAAUAAAUAAGUAAUAUAUAUUAAUUUAUAUUGUUAUAUUAUUAUAUAUAUAAUAAACAAAAGAAAGAAAAGAAACAUAAACAGAAUAGCAAACGAAAACAGAGAAGAAUAGGGAGAAAAAGAAAGGAGAAAAGAAAAAAAAUGGAAAUUAGGGUUCCAAGCUAAUUUGGUAAGUCAAUUUAAUUCAUUUUCUUAUGAUUUUUAAGUUUUUAUGAUCCUAGAACAAAAUACUAUUAGGUAUAUGUUAAAAUUUUGAAAGUUAGUAGAUUUUUGGAUAUAGUUUAUGUUGAAUUAAUUGAUGAAUUAAGGAUUUAAUUGAUAGAAAUUUCAAAUUAGAAAUGGGAAAAGGAUUAAAUUGUGGAAUAAGUUAUAAGUUUUCUGCAAUAGGGACUAAAUUGUAAAAAAUUUGAAUUUAGGGUUUUGUGACAAAAUUUUAAGGGUUAAGUUAUAAGUAGAAAUUAAGUGAAAAUAAGGUAUAGAUUGUGAUAGAAAUGAAAAUAAUUUUUGGUUAGGGAUUAAAUUGAAAUUAAGGUAAAAAUUGAAUAGAAAAUUUAAAUAUUUGAUGUGAAUUAAUGUUGUAUUGAUAUUUUAACUUAUUUAAUAUUUGUAGCUAACAUCGUGCCGAAGACAUCGACCAAGAAAGGAAAGGAAAAUAUGACGAUGAGUGAUUCAAAAUUACG